AGGGAUGAUGAUAUGUGUGUCACUACUCACAGAAACACAUGCUCCACGGUGGUGAUAUGAACAGGGCGCGAGUUCCCGCAUCUUCCAAGCUCAACACUGCACUAAAAACCCAAAAAAAAACAAAGAAAAAAAAGAAACAAAAAGAACUAAAAGAAAGAAAAACAAAACAAAGAAAAAUAGUUGGGUUACCUCCCAACAAGUGCUUAAUUUAACGUCUAGAGCUCGACGAUACCUCAUGGUCUCAAUGAACAUCAAACGCAGCAGGCGUGACAGACCGCCUAACACGAACAGAGACAGAGGACUCAUGCGCAUCAGCUGCGUGAAAGACAACGCUUCCAUUCGGCACAUCUAUCAUAGCCCUCCCCGUAGCUAAGAAUGAUCGACCAAGAAUCAACAGCGGAUUUGCAUCUUCAGGAAUAUCGAGGACCAAGAAAUCCGUAGGGAAUACCAGCUUGUCAACCUUCACAAAGAUGUCUUCAAGCUUUCCUCUCGGCUUCACUCUUGAUCUAUCCGCCAUUUGAAUCUCCAUCGAGGUCGGCUUGAGAUCUCCAAUUCCCAACCGCUUGAAAACAGAGAUGGGCAUCACAUUGACACUAGCCCCUAAAUCACAAAGAGCCUCG
rnacentral:lncRNA from 1 species